AACGAACGCUGGCGGCAGGCCUAACACAUGCAAGUCGAACGUGAAGCCACCUUCGGGUGGUGGAAAGUGGCAGACGGGUGAGUAACGCGUGGGAACGUGCCUUUCGGUUCGGAAUAACCCAGGGAAACUUGGGCUAAUACCGGAUACGCCCUUCGGGGGAAAGAUUCAUCGCCGAAAGAUCGGCCCGCGUCGGAUUAGCUAGUUGGUAGGGUAAUGGCCUACCAAGGCGACGAUCCGUAGCUGGUCUGAGAGGAUGACCAGCCACACUGGGACUGAGACACGGCCCAGACUCCUACGGGAAGCAGCAGUGGGGAAUAUUGGACAAUGGGCGAAAGCCUGAUCCAGCCAUGCCGCGUGGGUGAAGAAGGCCCUAGGGUUGUAAACCCCUUUCAGCGGGGAAGAUAAUGACGGUACCCGCAGAAGAAGCCCCGGCUAACUCCGUGCCAGCAGCCGCCGUAA
rnacentral:rRNA from 1 species